GACGAACGCUGGCGGCGUGCUUAACACAUGCAAGUCGAACGGAAAGGCCCUGCUUUUGUGGGGUGCUCGAGUGGCGAACGGGUGAGUAACACGUGAGUAACCUGCCCUUGACUUUGGGAUAACUUCAGGAAACUGGGGCUAAUACCGGAUAGGAGCUCCUGCUGCAUGGUGGGGGUUGGAAAGUUUCGGCGGUUGGGGAUGGACUCGCGGGUUAUCAGCUUGUUGGUGGGGUAGUGGCUUACCAAGGCUUUGACGGGUAGCCGGCCUGAGAGGGUGACCGGCCACAUUGGGACUGAGAUACGGCCCAGACUGCUACGGGAGGCAGCAGGGGAGAAUAUUGCACAAUGGGCGGAAGCCUGAUGCAGCAACGCCGCGUGCGGGAUGACGGCCUUCGGGUUGUAAACCGCUUUCGCCUGUGACGAAGCGUGAGUGACGGUAAUGGGUAAAGAAGCACCGGCUAACUACGUG
rnacentral:rRNA from 1 species